UACGGAGGGUGCAAGCGUUAAUCGGAAUUACUGGGCGUAAAGCGUGCGCAGGCGGUUUGUUAAGUCUGUUGUGAAAUCCCCGAGCUCAACUUGGGAAUUGCAAUGGAUACUGGCAGGCUGGAGUAUGGUAGAGGAAGGUGGAAUUCCCGGUGUAGCAGUGAAAUGCGUAGAGAUCGGGAGGAACACCAGUGGCGAAGGCGGCUGCCUGGACCUUUGCUGACGCUGAGGCGCGAAAGCGUGGGGAGCGAUCCGG
rnacentral:rRNA from 1 species